AGGAGUCUCACUACUAUGAAAGUUCCUAACAUUAGAAGAUAAUUUUUUUCAUGUCAGUGUCGUAACAGUGUGUUUAUAUAACACAAAACAGAGAGUUUAUUCUGAAGUCAGCAAGGGAAUGAGGUUGUGUGUAUAAUACGUAUGUUUGCAUCUGUGUGUAUGUGUGUGUGGUAGUGUUUAACUAUUCUUGUGGGGACCAGAAGUCCCCACAAGAAUAGUAAACAAACAAAAAUUGUUCAGUUGGUCCAAGGUCAAAUGCUAUUUGUAUGGGGUUUAGGGUUAAGGUUAGAAUUAGUAUUAGGGUUAGAAUUAGGUUUACGGUUAGGGUAGGGUUAGGUUUAGGGGUUAGGGAAAAAUUUGAAUGGGACUGAAUUGUGUGUCCCCACAAGGGUACAUGUACGUGCGUGCAUGUGUGUGUGUUUGUGUGUGCGUGUGCGUGAGUGAGCAGGGCUCUGUGUAUAGAAGGUUUUAUGAGGCUCAUAAGGAUGAGUCAAUUUCACGGUGAGAUAUACUGUGCUUAUAUAAACAGGAUGAACAAGAGACCCUCUCUCUCUCUUUCUCUCGCUCUCUCUGUGUCUAUCACUCUCUCUCUCGCGCUCACGCAUGCCCACAUUGUCAUUGAAGCUAAAUCAUGCUGGGAAACGGAGUUAAAGCUGUAAUUGACACAUGAGGGAGAGGUGAUAAGGGAGAGAAGGGCAGGGGGAAGGAGUAUUGUAGGUUGGGAGGAGGGAGAGAAGAACAGGAGUAGGGUAGGUUGGAG
rnacentral:lncRNA from 1 species